GCUACUUGAGCUGAGCUGCGUCGGGCAGGAAGGGGCAGCAAGAUGGCGUCACAGAGGCAGGUGCUCCUAUCCUUGUUGCUGUGGGUCUCAGGUGCCCAUGGGGACAUCACGAUGACUCAGUCUCCAGGCUCGCUGGCUGUGUCUCCAGGUCAACGGGUCACCAUGAACUGCAGAACCAGUCAGGGUGUUUAUAGCAAUGUAGCCUGGUACCAGCAGAAACCUGGGCAGGCUCCCAGGCUCCUCAUCUAUUAUGCAUCCAGCAGGGCCACGGGCAUCCCAGAGCGGUUCAGCGGCAGUGGGUCUGGGACAGACUUCACCCUCACCAUCAGCAACCUCCAGGCCGAAGAUGUGGGGCACUAUUACUGCCAGCAGUAUAAUAACUAUCCACCCACACUGCUUCAGCCUCGAACACAAACCUGCUCCCCAGGGCGGCAGGAUAUGGAGGUUUUGCUGAAGCAGCUGUUUCCUCUUCGCUAA